CACCUACCGAUUGAAUGACUCGAUCAAAAUCUAGGAUCGUCUCUACGUAAACUUAAUUGUAGUUACGUUAAGGUGAGAAUUCAUUUGAAUCUAGCAUUUAGAGGAAGGUGAAGUCGUAACAAGGUU
rnacentral:rRNA from 1 species